rnacentral:tRNA from 1 species
GGGGAUAUAGCUCAGUUGGUAGAGAUCCGCUCUUGCAA